rnacentral:lncRNA from 1 species
UUGCUAAUACGUAAUGAAUAGGGGCUAAAUUAUAAAAUUAGGGUGUCAUAUCUUCUGUGCUUUUGCUCAUAUAAAAGAAUUGGGGGCUAAAUAAUAAAAUUAGGGUGCCAUAGUAGAAUUAGUGAAAUUUGAUGAAAAUACUAUAGAAUUGCUUAUAUACAGUAUAGCACUUCUUACUCAUGCUAUCCUACUCUUUGUCUCUUACUUAGUUUUUAUAAUAAAUUAAAAGAAACAUGUAAUCAAAUAUUCUGUUAAAUGUGUUACAACUCUCAAUCUUAUUGCACGACAGAUAUUUUACUGAAUAAUUUUAAUUUCGUAUAUACCCAUUCCAUAUGAAAAUAAUUAUUACUUAUGAUGUAUUACACGUUAUACUAAUCUUUCACAGUGCUAACAUUACACUACAAAUUAUAUUCAAUUACACUUUUCCAAAUUAUUUCAGUUAUUGAUUUUUGGGGGUUGUUAUAAGUAAUAAUAAACAAUUCAUGAAAAAAUUUUUAUGCUCAGACAUGUCUAUUAUGUCAACUUAGCAAAAAUUACAAAUAUCUAAAA